rnacentral:misc_RNA from 1 species
UCUCCGUAGGUGAACCUGCGGAGGGAUCAUUACAGAGUUCAUGCCCUACCGGGUAGAUCUCCCACCCUAUGUUAUUAUUACUUUGUUGCUUUGGCGGGCCGUUAGGCUCCGGCCCGACUACCGGCCCCGGCUGGUAAGCGCCCGCCAGAGGACCCAAAACCCUGAAUAUUAGUGUCGUCUGAGUACUAUAUAUAGUUAAAACUUUCAACAACGGAUCUCUUGGUUCUG